GGGGUGCGUGGCGCUCCCCGGCUUCGGGCUGCAGGCUGCUAUCUGCAAGCCUUGGGAGCCCAGCGGGAACUCCCGCGGGCUCCGAAGGCUUGCGGAUAGCUUCCUGAAGCCUGGAGAACAAGAGGGGUCAGUGCGCACC